CUUUUAGUUCCCCUGCUAAUUCACAGAUAUAUAGAAAGCUGCAUUUAUCAACCAUCUUUGACAAUUUGCUUCCAGCAGUUAACGGAUGGACUUUUGUGGGAACAUACGUGCGUGUCCGUGGAGGAUUUAAACAACAUGAUGGGUGAGGAGCUCAGUGAUCCGGGAGGAGCUCAAAGUAGAGCUGCUGCUCCUUCACAUCGAAAGGAGCCAGUUGAGGUGGAUCGGGCAUCUAGUUCGGAUGCCUCCUGGACGUCUCCCUAGUCAGAUGCUCCAGGCAUGCCCAGCCAGAAGGAGGGAUUAUGUCUCGCCUGGGAACGCCUCGGCCCAACCCCGGAACUGGAAGAGAUGUCAGGGCUUCCCUACUGGGACUGCUAUCCGAUUUCCGGAAAUGCUGAAGAACAUGGAUGGAUGGAUGGAUUCCCAUUUUGGGCUGGUGGAUUGUCACGAGAUUGUAAGUAGGGCAUCAAAUGCAAAAAAAAAAAGAAAAGAAAAAAACAAGGAACGAAAACAAAAGCAAGAGACCAAAAAAACCUAGCCUUAAAAAGUACAACGCUGGGCAACUGAUGACCUGAUGCAAAAUGCAAAAGAGCUUUCAGUCUUUGAAGGUGGUAGGAUUAUUUAACUGCACCACCAAGGAAUUUUGCAAUGGGUCAUUGCUGAUUUUACACGUUUCUUAAAAUGUAAAAUGUUUGUCCAAUUUUUUGUCCACUUGGACAAAAAUACCAAGUGGUAUUUUAUAUAACUCAGGCCCCAAAACCGCCCAAUAACCACCAGAUGGCAUCUGCCAGGGAAGGACUUUGUGCAGUGUCAGCAGUUGGUGGCAUAUUCUAUUAUUAUAUAGAAUAUAUUAUCAUAUCUCAUACAUUUUAUACUCUAAGAAGUGUAAACUACUUAAUGUAGUUGGCUUUGGGGUACUUCAGUAGGAUUUUGAGUCACAGUGUUCAAAGGUUGCUGGUAUGUGUAUAAGUAUAUAUAUGUGUAUAUAUAUAUAUAUAUAUAUAUAUAUCUCCUGAUGAUUGAGGGAACCCCCUCAUGAAACAGGCCUGUAGAGAUGAAAUAGUCUUGUGAUUUUUUUCCCACACAUACAUAUAUAUAUAUAUUAUAUAUAUAUAUAUAUAUAUAUAGGUAAAUGCAUGUGAUCAAGUACUAUGAUUUUGACAGAGACUCUCCAGUCCUUUCUUGUGUUUCUUCAUCUCAAAAGAUUGAAGUCUUUUUUUUUUUCUCUCUCUAUUUGACGUGUACAAAGUGAAUGUGGAAACUGUAGGCAUAAUAAGCUUUUAGCUUCAGCCUAAACCUUGUUGGUCAGGAUAUGUAAACUGAUACUUUUAUUUGUUUAUCUGCUAUGAACUUGAGGUGUACUGUUUAUAUGAACCGAUGACCAAAUAAAAAAACAUUUAAUUGAUAUUGAA